rnacentral:rRNA from 1 species
CGCUGGCGGCGUGCCUAAUACAUGCAAGUCGAACGGCUUUUCUAUGGAAGCUUGCUUCCACUGAGAAGAUAGUGGCGAACGGGUGAGUAACACGUGGGUAACCUGCCCAUAAGAGGGGGAUAACAUCCGGAAACGGGUGCUAAUACCGCAUAGUUUUCUUGAUCGCAUGAUUGAGAAAGGAAAGACGGCCUUUGUGCUGUCGCUUAUGGAUGGACCCGCGGCGUAUUAGUUAGUUGGUGAGGUAACGGCUCACCAAGACGAUGAUACGUAGCCGACCUGAGAGGGUGAUCGGCCACAUUGGGACUGAGACACGGCCCAAACUCCUACGGGAGGCAGCAGUAGGGAAUCUUCCGCAAUGGACGAAAGUCUGACGGAGCAACGCCGCGUGAGUGAAGAAAGGUUUUCGGAUCGUAAAACUCUGUUGUCAGAGAAGAACAAGUUGGAGAGUAACUGCUCCAGCCUUGACGGUAUCUGACCAGAAAGCCACGGCUAACUACGUGCCAGCAGCCGC